rnacentral:lncRNA from 1 species
CUGAAGGGUGAAUGCUGUGAAAAUUUUCCGAAGACCCAAAAUGGACUCGGAUAAAUGCACAAAUUGACAAAAGAACAUAUUUUGGAAACAUUGGGUUGACUUAAAAUAGAGGAAAUGAAUCCUGAGCCCUAGCAUCACAUAACCAUAAAAAUUUGACACUUGAGUGUCCACAUAGGUGCAUGCAUGACCAGUUUUGCAUAAAAUUUCCAAAUC